AUUUCCAUGAAGACAACUCACAAGGACCUGAAUGGCCUCAUUUUAGCUGCUUCAGCGUGUGGAGCUAUUGCUUGCUCCUCCUCUUCCUGUGCCUGGUGUUACAGUGGCUCCUGAGCACCAUGAAGGUUGUUCCAGAGAAAAAUGCUGUCCGCAUACUCUGGGGGCGAGAACGGGGCACUCGGGCCUUUGGAGCUCAGCGGCUUCUGCAGGAGCUGGUGGAAGAUAAAACCCGGUGGAUGAAAUGGGAGGGCAAGAGAGUAGAACUGCCGGAUAGUCCACGCUCUACCUUCUUACUGGCCUUCAGCCCAGACAGGACUCUCUUGGCCUCCACCCAUGUGAACCAUAAUAUCUAUAUUACGGAGGUGAAGACUGGCAAGUGUGUUCAUUCACUGAUUGGACACCGUCGUACUCCAUGGUGUGUCACUUUCCAUCCCACCAUCUCAGGCCUUAUUGCUUCUGGCUGCCUGGAUGGGGAGGUUAGGAUUUGGGAUUUACACGGUGGCAGUGAAAGCUGGUUCACAGAUAGCAACAAUGCCAUUGCCUCUCUGGCUUUCCACCCUACGGCUCAGCUCCUUCUGAUUGCCACUGCCAAUGAGAUCCACUUCUGGGAUUGGAGCCGAAGGGAGCCCUUUGCUGUGGUGAAGACAGCUAGCGAGAUGGAACGGGUCCGUCUGGUGAGAUUUGAUCCUCUUGGACACUACUUACUCACAGCAAUUGUUAACCCCUCUAAUCAGCAGGGUGAUGAUGAACCAGAGAUCCCCAUAGAUGGAACAGAAAUAUCUCACUACCGACAGCGUGCCCUGCUGCAAUCACAGCCAGUUCGCCGGACGCCUCUCCUCCACAAUUUCCUGCACAUGCUGUCCUCUCGCUCCUCUGGCAUCCAGGUGGGAGAGCAAAGCACAGUGCAAGAGUCUGCUACCCCCUCACCCCCACCGCCUCCCCCUCAGCCCUCCAUGGACCGCCCCAGGACUUCCGCUUACAUCAGGCUCCGACAGCGGGUCAGUUACCCCACAGCUGAGUGCUGCCAGCACCUUGGGAUCCUGUGCCUUUGCAGCCGCUGCUCUGGCACUCGAGUUCCUUCCCUCUUGCCACACCAGGACAGUGUUCCCCCUGCUUCUGCCAGGGCUACUACCCCUUCCUUUUCUUUUGUACAGACCGAGCCCUUCCAUCCCCCGGAGCAGGCCUCAUCAACGCAGCAGGACCAGGGCCUCCUGAACCGGCCGUCUGCCUUCAGUACAGUCCAGAGCAGCACUGCCGGCAACACGCUCCGCAACCUCAGUCUGGGUCCCACCCGUCGCUCUUUGGGAGGCCCUUUGUCUAGCCACCCUUCUAGGUAUCACCGAGAAAUAGCUCCCGGACUGACAGGAUCUGAAUGGACCCGGACAGUGCUCAGUCUGAACUCCCGCUCUGAGGCGGAAUCCAUGCCCCCGCCCAGGACCAGUGCCUCUUCGGUGACUUUGCUGUCUGUGCUGAGGCAGCAGGAAGGUGGCUCUCAAGCAUCUGUGUACACUUCAGCCACAGAAGGGAGGGGUUUUCCAGCUUCAGGGUUGGCAACUGAGUCAGAUGGAGGGAAUGGCUCCAGCCAAAACAACUCAGGCAGCAUUCGCCAUGAGCUUCCAUGUGACCUGAGACGCUUCUUUUUGGAGUAUGACCGGCUUCAGGAGCUGGACCAGAGCCUGAAUGGGGAACCCCCCCAGACCCAACAGGCCCAGGAAAUGCUCAAUAAUAACAUUGAAUCUGAGAGGCCAGGCCCCUCCCACCAGCCCACCCCACACAGCAGUGAGAACAACUCCAACCUGUCCCGUGGUCACCUGAACCACUGUCGUGCUUGCCACAAUCUGCUAACCUUUAACAACGAUACCCUGCGUUGGGAAAGAACCACACCUAACUACUCCUCUGGCGAGGCCAGCUCCUCCUGGCAGGUCUCCAGUACCUUUGAAGGCAUGCCAUCGAGUGGCAGCCAAUUACCACCUCUUGAGCGGACUGAGGGCCAUACGCCCAGCUCCAGCAGGCUGGAGUUGAGCAGCUCUGCUAGUCCGCAGGAGGAGAGGACUGUGGGGGUGGCCUUCAACCAGGAGACAGGCCACUGGGAAAGAAUUUACACCCAGUCCAGCAGAACUGGAACUGUAUCACAGGAGGCCUUACAUCAGGAUAUGCCUGAGGAAAGUUCUGAGGAAGAUUCACUCAGGAGGAGGCUGCUGGAGUCUUCCCUCAUUUCAUUAUCCCGUUAUGAUGGAGCAGGAUCCAGAGAGCACCCAAUUUACCCAGACCCAGCGAGAUUAUCUCCUGCUGCAUACUACGCUCAGAGGAUGAUCCAGUAUCUUUCACGGAGAGACAGUAUUCGCCAGCGCUCCAUGCGCUACCAACAGAACCGGCUUCGCUCUUCCACCUCCUCCUCUUCCUCAGACAACCAGGGUCCAUCAGUAGAGGGAACCGACUUGGAAUUUGAGGACUUUGAGGACAAUGGUGACAGAUCCAGGCACCGAGCUCCACGCAACGCCCGGAUGUCUGCACCUUCGCUGGGACGCUUUGUACCAAGGCGUUUCUUGCUGCCUGAAUACUUGCCUUAUGCUGGGAUUUUUCAUGAACGUGGACAGCCUGGCUUGGCUACUCACUCUUCUGUUAACAGGGUCCUGGCAGGGGCAGUGAUUGGUGAUGGACAGUCUGCUGUGGCCAGUAAUAUUGCCAAUACCACCUACCGGCUCCAGUGGUGGGACUUCACUAAAUUUGACCUCCCAGAAAUCAGUAAUGCCUCCGUGAAUGUGCUGGUACAGAACUGCAAGAUCUACAAUGAUGCCAGCUGUGACAUUUCUGCAGAUGGCCAACUCCUGGCAGCUUUCAUCCCUAGCAGCCAAAGGGGCUUUCCCGAUGAAGGCAUCCUGGCAGUGUACUCCCUGGCCCCCCACAACUUGGGUGAAAUGCUCUACACCAAGCGAUUUGGUCCCAAUGCCAUUUCGGUGAGCCUGUCCCCAAUGGGCCGGUACGUAAUGGUGGGCUUGGCCUCACGAAGGAUCCUGCUGCACCCCUCCACAGAGCACAUGGUGGCCCAGGUCUUCAGGCUGCAACAGGCCCAUGGUGGCGAGACCUCCAUGCGGAGAGUUUUCAACGUCCUUUAUCCCAUGCCUGCUGACCAGCGGAGACAUGUCAGCAUCAACUCUGCCCGCUGGCUGCCUGAGCCUGGGCUCGGCCUGGCCUAUGGUACCAACAAGGGAGACCUGGUGAUCUGCCGGCCAGACCAUGCACUUUCUUCCACAGAAAAACAUACUAAAAGAACACUCAUUCCCGGCUGUAACUCUCUUAAGACCUCAGGGAAAGAAUGCAGCUCUGGAUGGGGUUGAUGAUAAGCAUGUCGUAUGAGUGAUGCGGAGAGGGCAGUCUCUCCGUGUUGUCACUAUGGCUGGUCUCUGGCCUAGAAUGAGGAGAACAAAUACAAAUGAGAAUGUAGGAAGGAGCUCAGGGCUGUCAUCUCUUUACAAGGUUGCUGCCUGUCCUUGUGUGAUGCAGCUCCCUGGCACACCCGUUCCCAAGGGCACAGGAUCCAGCCAGCCAGCUGGGCUAAGAUUACAGCCCUCCCUCCAAAACAGGUGGUUUCUGCCUUUGUCCCAGGCACAGGCAGCUGCACCUCAUUUUGUGCUCUCAAGUAUACUCUUGAUUUCUCCUUCAUUGUCUUAGCCUCAGUGCUCUCUCCAAGCACAAAGACGGGUCACAAGCUCCUUGGGCAUCUCUUGGUACUGACACUCUCCCUGACAGUAGAAAAAGACCUAAGGAAACACUCCAUCUCUCUAGGGAAAGAAAUUCUUAGGACCAGUGAGGAGACAAAUAACUGACCCUUCAACCCUAUACAAAGCCAUUACGGUGGCUGGUAGCCAAGGCAGUGAGGUGCUCCUUUCUCCUUGGCUUUGCUCCCCCACUGCCACUCCUCCAAGCUGCUGCUCUGCCUUCUGGCUGACUGCCAGCCCAGCCAACACCCCCACCAAUAACCACAGUGGGUGUGAAAUACCAGAUUGAUGUGAGGGGGUGCUUGCUCACUUCCGGCUUCAUAGAUCAGCCCUACAAAUGGGAGAGAGGUGUUUCUGGGAAGACCACUUCUCAGAGUCAGCUCAGAAGGCAGAAUUCAUAGAAAAAAGUAGGCUCGGGCUGUGGGGCAUCUGGCCUUUGGCUGAGUGUGGGGCUCCUGACAGGGUCCCAGCCCUGUCCCCUGAGAGGGAGCUACCACUGUAAACAGUGAUUACAAUCAAGCAUCAUUGACCACAGAGGGGAACGGCACGCCUCUGAAUCAAAAGGGAAGCCACAGCCACUAUCUUUCAGGCUGUCUGUCCCACAAGAGCCAGGUGCCAACUCUUUCCCACGUCAUGGGGACAGCAGGGAUGAAUGCCGGUCUCCUCAAAACGGUCCUUUUCUCCAAGGAGACAGCCAUGCAACCAAUAGAUGAAAGAAGAGUGUUCUCAAAGGGAAUAUUCCCUAGAAGUUGGGAAGUUCAGAGCCAGAGUUCUUUGUGGAGCAUUGUCACCACUGAGGAGGCCAGGCAGGCUCCUGGCUGUGUUCAGAAGCACAGCUUACAGACACUGCUGAAAGAAGCCGGGUGUUAAGAGGAAGUCCACCUGAAAAGGCUGACCUGACUGGCCUUGCCAUUCGUCUCCAUCCCUUUGUGUGUUUGCUAAGCCCCCAGGAAGAACCUGGAGCAAAUAGUGACUCGUUCAUCCUCAUUAAGCCCCAGGGAGACGGAGGUGGUUAGGACCAUUGGCAUUGAAGACUGAGUUUCUGUGGCCAGAGAUGUUCCUUCAGCUCUGUUCCUUGGUACCUGGAAUUUUCAAAUCCUUGAAAAUAUUCAAGAUCAGAAUAUUUGAUAUUGGGGAACAGAUAUCAGAAUAUCCCGUUGUAGUUGAGCUUUUCCGACCACAGAAAGGAGCCAUAUCAGGACUAGAAAUAGACCUGUUGAUGGGGACAGAAAGGCUUGGGGGGAGGGGGAGGGUGCAGCAGUGCAUCUGAUGCAGCCUGUCAUCCUGUUCCGUUUCAGUGGCCAGAGUCCCCAGCUCUGAGCCAGAUGGGUGGGAAGAGUUUAAGGGGGACCCUUUGACCAUCAGCAUCACGCUGACAGUCCCAGCUCCGAGUGGGCCUUCAGUGGUUUCUUUCCUGUGAUGGAAAGGAAGGUUCUGGUACAUGGUUUGGUGUGAACAAUUUGUUGUCAGUAACCAGCCCUGGCUGACAGGAAUUACAGAGGAAGGAUUGGCAGGGGACCCACAUGGUAUUGCCACCUGUCAAUAAAUCCUGACAAGUUUGCAAAUCAGAGGCUCCCCGGCAGCUGGCAGUGAUGGCUUUGUUUUGGAAGGCCUCUGCUGUUGACUUGUGGCAUUUGCCUUUUUCCUAAUACAAGAUCUGCCCCCCUGACCGUCACUCACCCAUGCCCGUGGUUCUCAGACAACCCCACCAAGCAGCUGAGUGUCUGGAAGAGGGAGGAGAUGCUCCAUUUUAAAGGGGUUCCCAGGCCCUUGGGGAGUUGUCGGGAGGAUUACAUAGAGCAGGGAAAGGAAGAGCACUUUUGGCAGGCUGGGGCACUUUCCCUCCAAAAUCACUAGUGUGCCCUCAGGUGAACCCUGUCCCCAGAAUCUUAGUGAUCCUUUAAAGCAGUGGUUCUCAACCUUCUGUCCCUUUAAAUACAGUUCUUCAUAUUGUGACCCAACCAUAAAAUUAUUUUCGUUGCUACUUUAUAACUGUAAUGUUGCUACUGUUAUGAAUCGUAAUGUAAAUAUCUGAUAUGCAAGAUGGUCUUAGGUGACCCCUGUGAAAGGGUCGUUUGACCACCAAAGGGGUCGCGACCCACAGGUUGAGAACCGUUGCUCUAAAGCAGGGGUGGGGAACAUCCGGCCCUCGAGCUGUAUAAGGCCUGAGAAAUCAUUUGGUCUGGCCCUGGCAAGGCAUUAAGGGUGAGUUAAUUAAAUAUAGCAGCUAAUUUUUAAGUUGACAAUUGUAUGGCCUGUGAAUGAUACUAUAAAUACCCAAAUGGCCCUUGGCAGAAAAAAGGUUCCCCACCCCUGCUCUAAAGACAGGCUUGGGGGCUCAGUGCCAGGCCAAUUUCACUGUGGAGCACAGCCUCCAACAUACAUUCCCUCCUCAUCCAAGUCCUGUCACAUCCCAUAUCAGGGACUGUCUAGUCCUCUUGUUUAAGAAUGAAGCAUCUACAUCACCCUUCACAGUCUCACCUCCUGGCCGACCCUCAGAACCUGCUGCUCCCCUUCACAAUCUCACCUCCUGACUGAUCCUCAGAACCUGCUGACUAAUUUGUUUCCUCUUCAUGGAAGAAGUUCUGUCAUUAGAGGAAGGUGACCUGGGCCCAUAGGUUAAAAAGCUGGCUUUCAUUGGAGAUUGUCAUCGUCUGCGCAGGCCUCCUUAAGAGAGUACAUGGGCUGGAUGGCUUAAUCAAUGACUGUUCCUCCUCGCAGCCUGGAGGCUGAAGCCAGCGUGGCCCAUUCUGGGCCUCGAACUCGGGCAUUGAGUACUACUGGGACCAGCUGAACGAGACUGUCUUCACGGUCCACUCCAGCAGCCGGAGCAGUGAGAGGCCCGGAACCAGCAGAGCCACAUGGAGGACAGACAGAGACAUGGGUCUGAU